AUUAAGCCAAAGAAAAUUACCUCCACACCUACCCUAUUCCUCCAUUUCUCUCUCUCAAUAUGAACUGAAACAGCAUUAUACCAUCAAGAAACUUCUCUGAUUAAUUCGCUUUUGUUGUAUUAGUUGUGGUAUAGCUGCAGCGACUCUGCAACUCUGCAACUUUUGAGGCCUUUUUCUUCGGAACGACAAGUAUUAUGGAAAAUCCCCAAUCACCUGAUACAUUUGGGCCGAAGCAGUAUACUUACGAACAACUAGCAGAGGCAACUCAUAAAUUCUCCAACAAGUACCUCCUUGGCGAAGGUGGUUUUAGUCAAGUAUAUAAGGGUGCCCUACAUGGUGAAAUCCUUGCUAUUAAGAAA
rnacentral:misc_RNA from 1 species